AAAUUUGUCUGCAAGGGUAGAUUUUAUCAGUCAGGCUGCUUGCUAUGUUCUGGGAAUUUUUAUUUUCUUUUUCUGGCUUAUUUUUAAUUUACAAUUAAAAUAUUAUCCCUAUUGCAGGUCUCCCCUCUGGAAACCCCCAAUCCCACCCCCUCACCUUGCAUCUACUGGGGUGGACCCCCAAGCACCCACCCACACACUGCCACCUUCACACUUUGGCAUUUCCCCCUGAAUUUGAACUCUCAAACUGCAGGCUAUAUUCCAGAACGUAUCUGUGCUAGAUGUAACCAAAGUCAGACUGUAUGUUGCUAAAGAGAAGGGAGAAUGCUUCUGUAACUGACAGGAGACAAAAACAGUGGAAAGGUGCAGGGACAGUGCUGGUUUGUUUCAGUGUCUUCAUGCUCUAAUUCCUUGUCCACGAGUUCCUGUACAGACACUGUCACCACAUAUGAAAUUCAGGUAUCAACUUUUGGAGUCCAUUCUUUUCUUCUGUCAUGCUGGGCUGUGCCUUCCUCAAGAAUAUACAAGACUCAAUCUUAGAUUUUUACAGAGACUAGAGAAUUUUUGACAUUUUCACAACCUUAGGUCAGACACUGUGAGAAAUGCUAUGACAGCAAAUGUCUGCAAUAUACCACCAUGGAUUCUCUGAAAAAUCCAGAGUCAGACCGUACCAUACCCAGAAUAAAAGCAAUGUUUGGAUAGUGAUGCUUGAAACCUGUUUACAUUAAUGGCAAAAGACAUCCAUUGAUAUACACAUAGUUUAUACUGUAAUUACUAUUAUUUUAGUUACUAGAUGAGUGCUUUUCAAAGUCAUUUUUGUGCUAAGUAACUGUUUUGGGGGGCUAUAACCCAUUUAGGGAAAUCAAUAUAUCAUAUUUUGGUGAUCUCCACCUUUAUAUUAGAGCAUGUACAAGAAGAAAAUGAACACAGUACUUUUCAGUGUGACCUUGUAUUAGUGGAUACCUCUAGACCUAUGCUUUUCUGGUUAUUUGUAUUUUCUCUUUAGAGAUCAGGUUUCUGUGGUAUUAUCUAGAUAUUUGUGAAACUGUCCUAAUUUGGUUAAGAUAUUCCUGACAAUCUUAAACACCUUACAAUUGUAAAUGUCACAAAAAAUGUCCUGACCCCUUUACAAUAACACAUUAAUCAUUCUAAACACAUCAUGUUUUGUUGCAAAUAAUCUCAAGCAUAUAAAUAUCAUUUUCAGCAUUCAAUUCCAUGUAAUAGUGUGCAAUUGUAUGAGGCACUCUAGCAUUUCAGGCAAACUGACACUGAGUAUGUGUGGAGCAGGGAAUGAACAGAAUAUGGCACUAUAAGUACAGCAACUUUUUAUGAAUACAUUAUUAGAGAUUAUUUUUCUAGGAAAGUCUAUAAUCAGAGCAUACAAGAGAAGCAAUUGGUGAAGAAGACACAGGCACCUGACAAGUAAUUAGCAGGCAGCUAAAAUUGAGAUAUAAGAGUCCCAGUAUUUUGAGUUAAAAAAAAAAACCCAAAACCCAUGUCUUAGUCAGGGUUUCUAUUCCUGCACAAACAUCAUGACCAAGAAGCAAGUUGGGGAGGAAAGGGUUUAUUCGGCUUACACUUCCAUACUGCUGUUCAUCACCAAGGAAGUCAGGACUGGAACUCAAGCAGGUCAGAGAGCAGGAGCCAAUGCAGAGGCCAUGGAGGGAUGUUCUUUACUGGCUUGCCUCACCUGGCUUGCUCAGCCUGCUUUCUUAUAGAACCAAGACUACCAGCCCAGAGAUGGUCCCACCCACAAGGGGCCUUUCCCCCUUGAUCACUAACUGAGAAAAUGCCUUACAGUUGGAUCUCAUGGUGGCAUUUCCUCAACUGAAGCUCCUUUCUCUGUGAUAACUCCAGCUGUGUCAAGUUGACACAAAACUAUCCAGUACAAACCAAAAACCAAAAAACAAACAAACAACCAAAAAAACAGAGCUUCUCUGGCAAACUGCUUGGAUCUAGGAUGAAGAAGAUGGAAAUAUGAAUAGCUCUAAUGGUCCAGUGACUUGUUAUUCUGUUGGUCACUGUAGAGAGAUGAAUGUAAAAACAAAACAAAACAAAACAAAACAAAACAAACAAACAAAAAAUACCCCAGCUUUUCCUGCCAGCCAAACCAAAAGCAAGGAAAUCAAAUAAAUUUGUCUGCUAAAAAUGAUUUGAUUUUUCAGGAUUCUGGAUAUACUCAAAGCAAGACUGAUUGGUGCUAAAGAAAAGGGAGAGUGCUUGUGUCACUGUCAUCAUACAGAGUAUGUGGAAAGCCCCAAAGACUGUGCUUGUUCAUGUCAGAGUCUCCAUGCACUGAUUGCUUAGCUCCCUAUUUUGUACAACAUUUCAGGUCUCUACUUUGGAGUUUGACUUCCUUGUCUCAGUCAUAGAGGGCUGUGUCUUCUGCAAAGAAGUUACAAGAUUCAAUCAACAGCUUUUGACACAGACUAGGAAUUUUCUGACAUUUUAAUAUUCUUAGAUCAGCCACUAUGAGAACUGCUAUGCCAGCAAAUGUCCUCAACAUAACACCUUAGAGUC
rnacentral:lncRNA from 1 species